CUCAUACUGGUUACUCUUUCCCCACCAGUCCCUGCCUGUGUGCGGAGACGAGGCGGCGGUGCAUUCUUUGCCGGCGCUUUGGCACUUAAGGUGCCCACUUGGAUUAAGCUAAGGGCUGUUGAGAAGUUUCUUCGUAACAAGCUGAGAGUAACACAUCACUGAGGGGAUCGAUGGUGGAUUAAAG